AGUGAACGCUGGCGGUAGGCCUAACACAUGCAAGUCGAACGGCAGCACAGAGGAGCUUGCUCCUUGGGUGGCGAGUGGCGGACGGGUGAGGAAUACAUCGGAAUCUACUCUGUCGUGGGGGAUAACGUAGGGAAACUUACGCUAAUACCGCAUACGACCUACGGGUGAAAGCAGGGGACCUUCGGGCCUUGCGCGAUUGAAUGAGCCGAUGUCGGAUUAGCUAGUUGGCGGGGUAAAGGCCCACCAAGGCGACGAUCCGUAGCUGGUCUGAGGGGAUGAUCAGCCACACUGGAACUGAGACACGGUCCAGACACCUACGGGAGGCAGCAGUGGGGAAUAUUGGACAAUGGGCGCAAGCCUGAUCCAGCCAUACCGCGUGGGUGAAGAAGGCCUUCGGGUUGUAAAGCCCUUUUGUUGGGAAAGAAAUCCAGCUGGCUAAUACCCGGUUGGGAUGACGGUACCCAAAGAAUAAGCACCGGCUAACUUCGUGCCAGCAGCCGCGGUAA
rnacentral:rRNA from 1 species